rnacentral:rRNA from 1 species
AUGGAGCUCGGCUCCGGGACCGGCGCCGCGGGCCUCGCCCUGGCGGCGGCCCUCCCGGCGCACACCGUCCUCUCCGACCUCCCCGCCGCGCUCCCCAAUCUCCGCCACAACGCCUCCCUCAACGCGCCCCUCCUCGACUCCCGCGGUGGCUCCGUCUCCGUCGUGCCGCUCCCCUGGGGCGAUGCCGCCGCGAUGGGGGCCGUGGUGGCCCCAGCGCCGGCGUCUCGGUUUGACCUCGUCGUGGCGUCGGACGUGGUCUACUACGAGGAGUUGGUCGACCCCCUGAUAGAGACGCUGCGGUUCUUCGUGAAGGGGGAUGUGGUGUUCCUGAUGGCGCACAUGAGGAGGUGGAAACGCACGGAUAAGAAAUUCUUCGGGAAGGCCAGGAAGGUGUUCGACAUUGAGGUUUUGCACAAGGAUCCACCCCCCGAAGGCUGGCGCCAUGGUCCGGUGGUCUACCGCUUCACAGCGAAGAAGCAGCGUGACAAGAAGUGA